UGGGGAAUUUUGCGCAAUGGGCGAAAGCCUGACGCAGCAACGCCGCGUGUGUGAUGAAGGUCUUCGGAUUGUAAAGCACUUUCGACCGGGACGAAACCGCUGGAGUCAAACAGCCUCCAGCAUUGACGGUACCGGGAGAAGAAGCACCGGCUAACUCUGUGCCAGCAGCCGCGGUAAUACAGAGGGUGCAAGCGUUGUUCGGAAUUAUUGGGCGUAAAGCGCGUGUAGGCGGCCUGGCAAGUCGGGUGUGAAAGCCCUCAGCUCAACUGAGGAAGUGCGCCCGAAACUGCUAGGCUCGAGUGCCGGAGAGGGUGGCGGAAUUCCCCAAGUAGAGGUGAAAUUCGUAGAGAUGGGGAGGAACACCGGUGGCGAAGGCGGCCACCUGGACGGUCACUGACGCUGAGACGCGAAAGCGUGGGUAGCAAACAG
rnacentral:rRNA from 1 species